AUUUUCGACUUUGAUCGUAGCCAUGGUUUUCGCUGGAGGAUGUAUAUCGAAAGAGAUGUGUAUCCCACAUAGAGGAGAGUUGUUUGGCAGGAGCUCGAGCGCUGUUCAGACACAAUGUUGUGAUACAGACAGGUGUAAUGGGCCAUCUACAACAACAACAACCCACCACCACCACCACACGUAUU